UAAUUCACUUAAUUAAGUCAUGUGAUCGGGUCAGAUAAUGUUGCACUAUUGCACAUGGGGGGCACUAUUGAGAAGCCAACAUGUAAACUAUGUUGGCUUGUGACUUGUGUUUUUAAUUAAAUAAUUAUCUAAAAAGCAAAGAGUUCAACGCUUUUUACACAAAUACUGCUGAGCAUUUGGCCGUAGUGCAAACACAGCUAUGCCUAUGUUUUUAUUUAUUUUCAUCGAAAUGCCCUAGCCAAAAGAUAAGACGUUCUCUAAAUCAUAAGUGCAGCAACCUUUCUAGCCAGACCAUCGUGGUUAUUAAAUAAAGAAGAUAAGGACUAUUAAAAGAUAAAGGACCCUGGCUGAAAAGUUCAUUUGCCGUUCUGCUAGUCUUUUCCCUUUACUUGGAAAAUUGCUAUGUGAGAGAGUGCUUUCGCCCCGCUUCCAAUAUGUUUUCGUACUAGCCCCUGACUUUCUGAAAGUCAUAAAAGCUUUCAGAAUUUUUCUAACUUCGUAACUUAACUUUCUGUAUUUUUAUACAAUUAUCCCUGAUAUUUUAUCUUUCUUUAGAGGUAUAUUUAAAGCCAUUUAUGUAUACACAGAUGUUCCCUGAAAACAAAACUAAGGAAGACAUAUGCUGGUGAUGAAUACAUAUUAAAUGAAGAUGAGUAUUUAUUAGAGACGAUGGGCUCAGAAAAGCCAACGCAGUCUUAGCUGGUCCCAACGUCUAUAUGAUCCAGAAAGAUCGACAGAAUAUGCUGAUUUUUUUCAUAUUAACAACUCUUGUAAUGUUCCAUUAUGCUGACACAAAAUGCAGCCAAAAACUUAAUCAAUGGAAAUCCGCUAAUCCUAUUGAUCAGAGUUUGUAUCUUGGCGAAUGGAUAGUUUUCGACUGUCAGUUGGACAAUAAUCUUACCAAUGUUUCGUUGUGGCAGACCAAUAUAAUUGGUAAAUUGAAGAAACGAAUUUCAAAUGGGAAGAAAAUUAGAAAAUUCGGUGGCCAAUAUUUUAAUGUAACAAAUCUUAGCAUUUCUGAUCAAGGUGUUUACGAAUGCCGGGCUUGCGGUCAAACGAACAACAUCAAAGGUGAUGUACAGUUGUUUGAUAAAAACCACGGGGUGGCAUUUCAAAGGCCAAAUAUAACAAAUAAGAUUUAUAAGGCCAUUGAAUAUGGGACGAUGGUACGGCUUGUGUGUACGGUAAUCGGACAUUAUACUUUAGACUGGUAUAAAGAUGGAUCAUCUAAACAUCUCAGUUACAUGACGAUUCAAGAGUUGGUAAAAAUAGCGGCUUUGACUAUAGAAAGUUUCACAGAAUCUGAUGACGGCGUUUAUUCAUGUAAAGCACAGAGAACGAGUGUUCUUUGGGAGGCUGAAGACAGAAUUUACCUCAAUGCUGAAGAAGUGAAACCUGUGGUAUAUCGGGAUAAAACCCAAUACAGAAAAAGGCGAGUGGAUCAGGAUAGCCCACUGUAUCUGAAAUGUGAAGUUAGUCAAUCCAAUCCAAAACCAGAGUGGGAAUGGUUUGAAUGCGUUAAUAACUUGUUCAACUGCGGCAAUGAUUCUCAAAGGUGGUUUCCACUGAAAGAAGAGUCGCCCAGAUCGAAUAGCUCUCUUGUUAUUAAAAAACAAGAGUUUCAAUACGUCAGCUAUAGGUGUAUUGCACGGAAUGAAAUGGGUGAAGACAGUUUUACCUGGAAUUUCGUAUUCGACGAAAGAGGUAUAUCUUAUAUGAAAACAACAAUCAACGAAAAAAUUCCGAAGUAUGAAACUGCUGGUAUCAACAUCACCGUCAUGUGUGAGUGUAAUGGAUCAGUAAUGAUGGAGUGGACGAAAGAUGGACACAAAUUGCCUGCUGUCGAUGCUACGUCUUCAGAGAGAUCCAAUAUUACACGAAAGAUUCUGAUGAUCAAGAAUUUCAGUAAAACUGAUGAAGGACGGUAUGAAUGUCGUGUUAAGCACAGCAAGUACAAUUGGACUAAUUUUGAUUAUGUUAAUCUAAGUAUGAAAGUCAGCCCAAUAAUAAAAGCAUCAGAAAACAAGGAUGAUAAGCUUAGCCAACACGCUUUCCGUAAAGGAUUAAAACUACAUUGUUAUAUGAUAGAAAAAGGAAUUCCUCGAGCCAACCUGGUGUGGGAAAAGUGUAUUUGUGAUGCUCUGUGUUCUCAAUGUACACAUUGGUCAAAAUUGCAAAAUACUGCUAUACAUAUAGUGAACUUAUUUAGACGUAAAAGCAUAUUGACUAUCCAAUCACAAACAUCUGAACGAGUGAAUUACCGUUGUAAGGCAGAAAAUCUUGUCGGAAAAGAUGAACGUCUGUGGACUAUAUGGAGGAAAGGGGUUACAGAUUUGACAUCGAAAAGUACCGACGCUUACGUGGCAAUAAUCGUGAGCAUCGCCACUGCUAUGUUUGCAUUGUUGUUUAUUAUUGCCGUUGUUCUUUAUAAAAGGAAGAAACGUUAUGGAAAGUUGUAUAUUUUCACCAAUCCACCAUUGCCUGAUUAUAUUGAAAGAAUAGAUGGGACGCAACUGCUCGUGGAGCAAACCAAGAAACUACCAUAUUUAGACGAAUGGGAGUUUCCAAGAGAACGUGUUUUUAUCGAACGUACUUUAGGGUAUGGUGCCUUUGGCCAGGUAUGCCUAGCUAAAGUGAUUGGUAUAUCAGCUUUUAAUCCACGGAGAGCUUUAAACGGAGAAUCAAGAUGGACGUUUUUCACAAAGAUGGUAAACAGAAACCGUUAUCCAUACCUGAACUGUCCGAUAAUCACGGAAACGGCAGUUAAGAUGCUUAAUGAUAACUGGAAUGUAGGUGAUUUGGAGGACCUGUUGAGCGAACUGAAAAUUCUUAUUCACGUUGGAAAACAUAAGAAUGUAGUCAACAUACUUGCUGCUUGCACUAACGGACAUCGCAGUAAAACGUGGAUCAUUAUGGAAUACUGCCCGUAUGGUAAUUUGUCUGAAUUUCUCAGAAGCAGACGAGAAUUGUAUAAAGCCGAGUGGUUGAAGUUAACUUCAGAUUUUAACAGCAAACUGAGUAUAAGUGAUCUUGUAGCGAUUGCUGUCCAGGUUGCAAACGGAAUGGAGUUCUUGAUUUCGAGAAAGUGCAUUCAUCGUGAUUUAGCAGCAAGGAAUAUUUUGAUGGGUGAGAAUUUCGUCCCGAAGAUUGCUGAUUUCGGCCUUGCGCGUAAUAUUUACAAGGGUGGUGUCUAUCUUAAGAAAAAAUCGGGGCUAGUUCCUGUAAAAUGGAUGUCAGUUGAAGCAUUACGAGAUCGUGUGUUCUCGGAAAAGUCAGACGUAUAUUUCAGAUGUUACUGCUGUACCUUGUUAUGUAACUAGCUCGUCUGUUUGUUUUAUUUCAAGAUGGUCAUUUGGUAUUGUUCUUUGGGAAAUGUUUACCCUCGGGGGUUCUCCAUAUCCCGGGAUACACUCAGUGGAUAUUUGUGAGUACUUGUGCAAU
rnacentral:misc_RNA from 1 species